CGAUGUCCUCAUCAAUUAAGGCAAUAUUUUGAUCAGGGCAGGAAGCUGCGGAAGCCGCGGCGAAAUCCUACGCGGGAUUAAUUAAUAGUACGCCGUUAAUAAUUUACGCACGCGCGCGCGCGCGCGAUUGUCGAUAAAUUGGAAAGCGCGCACGAGGCACAAUUACACGCUCAAGCGGAACCACUUUAAAUCGUCAGAGCGCGCGUCGAUCGCCAAUACGCGAGGAACAUAGACGAUGCGGAGACGCAUCGUACAUACUGAAAAGUCGAAACGUGAUUAACGUAGGCCUGGCACACGCUCGAUUCCUCGGCGUGCAUGGCCGAUCAGGAAAUCACGAUCGGGAAUACCCGAUGGUGUGCGAAGUGGUUUUCGCCCGUAGCGCCGACGAGAUUAUCGAGCAGAUAUGGAACGAUCGGUGUAGACAGCGAUCUGAAAGAGAGAGGGAGUAUACGUGCGUGGCAGAGUUAUGGAAAAUAAGAAUUUGGCUUUGUUAUGAAAAGUUUAAGGAAAUUUUUAACUUAAGUUGGAAACGUGAGGGCACUUUUCGUGCAAGAGUUGAGGGUAUAAAAAAAUUGCAUCGAUUCUUUCUAACUCGUUGAACCCGCCAUAUCCUUCCCCCCUCGGGAAGGGGACAAUAAUCGAGAGGGUUGGCUCUCGAGAUAUAACGUGGAAGACGGAGGAACGAGGGAUGACAGGAUUCAUAAUUUCACGCGAGCUUAUUGCCCUCGGUUAUUUAUCCUCUCAUUCCACAUGCAGCUCGCGCGGAUUCUCUUCCUCCGUCUUUUCGAGCCCGGGACGACUCACGAUACACCCUCGGCAAUGUCACGACGUAAUUUUCCAACGUCGACACGACCUGGCCCCUCGUGCGUCCUCCUUGCGAUUAUCAAUCGAUUACACCGCUCCUCUGCGCGGAUUAUUGGUAAUUCGCCAGUAAUUACGCGGCCGUGCGAUCGGUGACGGUUCAAUGACCUCGACCUUUAACCCAAAUUUUAAUCUCUCCUCUCGACAUUGAGGAGAAUCUGUUACCUGCUUCGACGAACAAUCUGCUCGAUCUUGAAGAGAAUUCUGAAAUUUGUUCUUGUUGAAGUUAUGCCAAGUAAAAAAUCGUGCUUUGGAAGGAGCUAAUUGGUCUGCUGAAUUUUCUACGACUCCAGGC